AGUACCGCAUCUGUUGGGUCAGAACGCUUUCUUCCCCACGAGCUCAACCAUGGAGUCGGCUUCCUCUUCCUAGAUCCGGUUUUCCCGGAACCUGUGACCAACACCUAUGUCUGCAAGAGAGGAGCAGUAAGCUUCAAGAGAGGAGGAGAGCAAUGGUGUAGAGCCCCCCGAUGAUCUAAUUUCAGUCGACGGUACAGAAACAGCAAUGGUAUUACUUUGGAUUCAACAGGCGGCCGUUCUUAACUGCUACUCAUUCAUGCUAAUCAAAAUGGUGCUGCAAUGACAUUCCAGGAUAUGGUAAUGACAGCCAGCAAAGGGGUGCUUCACUAUGCGGGUGAUGACUUGAAAGGAAAAAAUCUUACUAGCCGUGUUGGAGAAGAUCAAAGCUCCAAUGAUUCAGGAGUUCAUCUGGAUGUAGCAAGUUGUGUGACAGAACCGCCAAGUUAAACGGCUUAAUUAAGCGUAA